rnacentral:rRNA from 1 species
CCAAAAACAUAGCCCUACUUAACUUAUGUAAGGUGAAACCUGCUCAAUGGUUGCUAAUAAUAAGAUAAAAACAAUUAAAUAGCCGCGGUAACUCUGACCGUGAUAAAGUAGCAUAAUCACUCGUCAUUUAAUUGGUGACUGGAAUGAAUGGUUAAACGAAUCUUUAACUGUCUCAAGAAGAAAAUAAUUUAAUUUGAACUAACAGUGAAGAUGCUGUUAAAUGAUUAUAAGACGAAAAGACCCUAUCGAGCUUUA